CGUCUACAUCACGUUGAAACACUGGUUCCCGUACGACCACCGAAGUUAAGAAACGUCAAGCUUGAUUAGUACCUGGAUGGGUGACCGCUUGGAGAUACCAAGUACUGUAAG